rnacentral:rRNA from 1 species
CCUACGGGGGGCAGCAGUGAGGAAUAUUGGUCAAUGGACGAGAGUCUGAACCAGCCAAGUAGCGUGAAGGAUGACUGCCCUAUGGGUUGUAAGCUUCUUUUAUAAAGGAAUAAAACGAGGCACGUGUGCCUUUUUGCAUGUACUUUAUGAAUAAGGAUCGGCUAACUCCGUGCCAGCAGCCGCGGUAAUACGGAGGAUCCGAGCGUUAUCCGGAUUUUUUGGGUUUAAAGGGAGCGUAGAUGGGUUGUUAAGUCAGUUGUGAAAGUUUGCGGCUCAACCGUAAAAUUGCAAUUGAUACUGGCAGUCUUGAGUACAGUUGAGGUAGGCGGAAUUCGUGGUGUAGCGGUGAAAUGCUUAGAUAUCACGAAGAACCCCGAUUGCGAAGGCAGCUUACUAAACUGUGACUGACAUUGAUGCUCGAAAGUGUGGGUAUCAAACAGGAUUAGAUACCCUGGUAGUC